GUGGGUGAGGCCCCGUGGGCCUCGAACCCUGAUCUGCUUCUAGCCGGCGAAUAACUGGAAUUAACGGAGCAGGUUUAGUGUGCACGUGAGAUACUCUGGACCUUUCCACCCGCCCCACCCGACUGCGGGGAUAGUCACACAGUCACGUGCCGGGUGGGUCCCGGGGGUCGCACUUCGCUGGAGCUGGUCCCCGAGCCGCUGGCAGUGAAGUGACGGGGAAAGCGCGGGACCGGAAGGAGGGACGCGGGGCUCCAGGACUUCCAGCGCUUUCAGGCUAAUACUGGAUGCACACGAAAUCACAUGUUGAGCAAAUAUAAGGAAGACAUUUAAACCGCGAUGGAAGAGGGCCAGUUUCUCUUUACGUUCCUGCGCCCCCUCCUUCAGCCCUUUUCAGCUUGGGUGAUACACGGCUGCAGGCAUUUGGGGUUGAGCCAAGUACACGGGCCUCUCACUGUUGUGGCCUCUCCUGCUGCGGAGCACAGGCUCCGGACGCGCAGGCUCAGCGGCCAUGGCUCACGGGCCUAGCCGCUCUGCGGCACAUAGGAUCUUCCUGGACCGGGGCACGGACCUGUGUCCCCUGCAUCGGCAGGCGGACUCUCAACCACUGCGCCACCAGGGAAGCCCCCACAAGUGCUUCUUUACGUUGGGCCUAAAACCAUGUCCCCUUAACUUUCAAUCAAGGGACCUGGUUCUAACCAUCGUUUCUAGCAUUCCCAGCACUUUCUAAUCCUUUGGAAACCUCAGAACUAGUUCAAGCUAAUACGUGUUGCAUAACCCUGCCCUGCCUGACGCUCAUCAGUUUUCUCAUAGAAGAUUUGGACCCUUGUUGUAUACAUGCCUCUUCUUACUAUGACUUUAAGAAAACUAGUCAGUCUUUUUCCUCUGUUUUUUCUUUUUCAAAAACUAGGCAAUUUUUACAUGUGGGGUGUUUCAUUCUUAAUAUAUAGCCUAGUGAGUUAAACUCAUUUCUGCACGUGAGUUAGGCAUGCUACAUGAAGCCUACUAUUAAACAUCAAGCCCUUCAUCUUUUGGUGUUAAUAAGUCAACCUCAGAACCACUCAGGCCUCACAUGUGGCUCUACCCCACCAUAUGCUCUUUAGUAAUGAGCUCAGAGUCAGAUUUCCUCCUAGGUCUCACCAGAGCACAGUCUAGUUAACCUAAGCUGCGACUCCUGCUUUCUGCACAAAACGUCUUCACCGACAUGGUUUUCAGAUGGUCUUUUAAUUGUGGGACCACGGGAAGCCUUACCCAUGGUAGUUCACGUGGGGAUCACAGAUGGCAUGAUGAAUGCAUUGUUCUUGUGCAUUAUGCUUUAUGGCAGGGAGGGACAGGAAACUAUCCAGGGUGACUCAGUUAGACAAGAGUUGUGGAAUGCGUACAUCCUGCAUAACCAUGCUAAGAGUUUGCCUUAGGCUGUGUCUUAGAACCGGAAAUGCUGCAAGAAUGUGAGCUGACCUGUAUGUUAUCCUCAUGCGCUGUUCAGACAUGUACAGAAAUAAUAAUGCCUAUCGUUCUUUGAUUCCGGGGACCUUCAGUCUCACACCUAUUCGUUUAUAGCUACUCCUUUUUUUUUUUAAAUUGGGGUAUAGUUGAUUUACAAUGUUGUGUUAGUUUCAGGUGUACAGCAAAGUGAUUCAGUUAUAAAUAUAUAUAUUACUCCUUAUUCCUUUAGUAUGGAGGCUUGGAAACCCGUAUAACUUACGUCGAGGGGAAGACAGGAAAGCACAGGUUGAUAGCAUUUGGCUGCCAUGGAUACUUCUUUCACUUGUAUCAUCACAAUGAAUCAGACCACAGCUUGGACUCAACUUUCUGCCGUCGGUGACUUUUCCCGGUGGGUGGAGCAAUCAGUAUCAGAUGAUAACUGGGCUUAAGGAAAAUAACUUUCAAGUCAUACUUGCUUAAAAGAGAUCUACUCAGUCAAAAGGCUACAUUGCUUAAACAGUGAGAAAAAUCCAUGAAUAGAUAGAUUUCAUAAUGACAAAAGAAAAAGAAGAAAAGAAGGAACCGUGAGUCACCCACAGAGGACGCCAGGGAACUGUGACAUAAUAAGAAAUAUGUGUGUGGUGUCUCCACGGGCUUCCUGGCGCAGAGCUCCUGAAACGCUUGGAAUUUCUUGAGCGAUCGGGAAUGAACGAGAGUUUAGAAGACCAAAUAUUUCAAACCAACCAGUGAAGCCCUUUGGUGUGGUUUUGACUCCAAAGCAGCAAGACUGUCUCCUGGUCUCCCAGGGCCAUACGCCACGGGCUCACUUUUCAAAUUAAGGUGAAAUCCAAGUGAAGGUGGAAAGGCAAGGUGUGAGGUCCUUCGACAGCAUCCCUGGUAGGUGACCAUCCACUCUCUAUAAACACCUCCAAUGGCAGGGAAUCUCAGCCACAUUCAUGAAGCUUCACUGUUGCCUCACCAGGAACCAGUCUUCCCCAUUUCCCAGGACGGCAUUUCGAGUCUUAGAGACAGUGUUCUCAUCCCCGCCCCGAGUCAGUGAUUCCUACCUGGAGUCUCGGGAAUGUGAGGGGACAGCCAUCCUAUUGGACAAUACCAGCUCCUUGGAACAGCCAAGGUUAGCAGUUGGGGGCUUUUCCUUAGAUGCCGUGAUGCUCUGUUGAGGUUAGAAAUUUAUUUCAGUGGUUAGAAAACAAGAACAUACACUAAAAUCUUUAAAAAUGGUUUUAUUUUAUUUUUUUAAAGAUUUUUUGGUUUUGACAUGGACCAUUUUUAAAAGUCUUUAUUGAAUUUGUUACAAUAUUGCUUCUGUUUUAUGUUUUGGUUUUUUGGCCACAAGGCAUGUGGGAGCUUAGCUCCCCCAGUGCAGGGGAUGUGGGAUCGAACCCACAGCCCCUGCGUUGGAAGGCGAAGUCUUAACCACUGGACCACCAGGGAAGUCCCUAAAAGUGGUUUUAAAACCACUCUCUUAAAUUUUCUCUUCCCCAGGGUAAACAUUGCUUGCUCUUUGAAAUAUUGGUAAUACAGGUUUAUAUAUUUUUUAAAAUAUAAUAAAUAAUGAAGUAUAAAUUAUAUAUAAGAAAUUACAUGUAUAUUAUAUUAAAAUAUAUAUGUAUGUUAUUAGAAAAGGGUAGCCUCACCCACACGCACUUUUAGGACAAGACCUAGCGACUGUACACAUCACUUGUCGUCACAUCUCAUUGGCUGGAGCGUUGCCACGUGGCUGCACCUGCUGUCAGGGAGCUGGGGGAGGUAGUGUGUGUCUGGCAACCCAGGCGCCGGGGUAAAACUUUCCCUGCUCUGGAAGGAGGGAAGAGGCAGCGUGGGGGGCUCUUAGCAUUUCUGCCACGAUAACUCUAAAUAGAAUCUAUGCGACCACAUAGCAUAAUGACAGUGUGUCCUGGUUUUGUCACCAGGCCCAGCGGUGAGGCUGCGUAAGGGUCACGGGAGUGGAGACACACAGAACGGAGCCAGUAUUCAGUUCAGGAAUCAUAGAAUUUAGUGCACGUGGUGAGCACACAGCACAGCUUAGUAAGAGUAGGGAGAACACAGAAGGGGUACCGACCUCGCCAAGGAGAAGUCUGGGAGGAGGCAGCUCAGCGCCAGCAGGGUCCCUGGUUUGUGAUGGUUUCAGGACGUCUGUGAGUGGGACUCGCCCUCGGCUGGGACAGGGCCUCGGGCAGCGCCUGGACAUUCCACAGUGUCUGGUCGGGUCCUCCAGCCAAGAGCCUUCAGUGUCCGACUCUGGGGGGUCUGCCUGGAGGUGGGCAGGUGCUGCCCCAGGGCCUCUCGUCUCCAGCAGCUACUCUGUGCCAGCGAAGGUUUCCGUGAUGUUACAAGGCAAGUCCUUAAAUUCAUUCUCUAAGUCUGUGAGUCUCUUCCUGUUUUGUAAACAAGUUCAUUUGUAGCAUCUUUCUUUUUAGAUUCCGCAUAUCGAUAUCGUAUAUUGGUCUUACUAACACAACAUUGUUAAUCACCUAUGCUUCAAUAUACAAUAAAAAUUAAACAAACAAACAAAAAACAAAGUCCUCAUCUAAAGGAACGCUCUUAGCUCACCAUACGGACGCGCUCACAGCCCGGCACCCGACGCUUUGGAACAACCAGCCUGGCAGUUGACGCUGGCCGUUGGGACUCCGCUUUGACUGCUGAACAAAGCUUGAAUCCGAGGAGUUUCACACCAGACAAGCAGGGAGCACAGACUGCAGCAUAACCGUCCUAAACUGAGAGCUUCACUGAAAUAUUCAAAUACAAGGAACGUGUGUGAAAGACGUUUGUUCUUGGCUGGCUAACACCCGUUCAGUCCACCUCCAGUCACAAUUCCGGGUUUUGUUUGGGCAUCUAGUCUUCCUCUCUGUCCAUCUGGUUGAGGGGGAGUCUGGGGGUGACUUGUGACCUAGCCAAACCUCUCAGAACCCCACAGUCCCUAGACGAGCGUGACUGGGUCGGGAUUGGCACGUGACUCAUUCCAGCUACUAGAAAAGCAGGUUCCUUUAAUUCUGCUGCCAUCUUGCCAUGUGGAGCAUAUGACAAUGAAAGAACUUUUUUUUUAGCCCAGGAUCCAGCCACGUUUCGCGUCUGCUCUCCACUGGGGCUUCUUAGCCACGAGAUCCAGGAAAUCCUCUUCUCCAUCCCUGUUUUGUUUUUCUCCUUACACCAGUUUGUAGUGGGUUUUCUGUAACUUGCAAUAGAAAAAAAAUCCUAACUGAUACAUUUGAGAUUAUUCCUAACUCUCCUACAUGGAAAAUAACACAAUAAACAAUUAAAAUAAUUAAAUAAGAUAAUUAAAAACCAAGUAAGAUAUCUGACUAGUUCAUCUAUUCGCAUGAAUGAACUGUUAUAUAGCAGAGAUAUACAAAGCGUCAUUGUUCUGCACUGUGCAGCCAGAAUCUGAAGCCCUAGCCUGAUCACAGGCUGCAAGAAUUCUUUGCCACACGUUGCUCGGUAACGAAUAUUACUGUAGAUUUAAGAGCUUGAAAAUUCCGUCAUUAUCAACAAUUCAGCCUGAAAUCUUUCUGGAACGACGUGGGAAUAUAAAUAAGUUUAAAAGGCAUCAAGCCGUUCCUUCCUCUUUCUAACAGCUUCUUUUCUAGGAAGUCAAACUCUCCUUUUACACAGACCUCUUGUUCUCACCCUGUGGUUCUUAAGAGACGCCAACAAUACUUCUUCUUACCACUUACACUGAAUAAAUAAUUCAGGGUAAUAUAAUACCGAGUGGAACUUAGAACUGAUAGACUUCUUCCAAGCCCUUUAAGAUGUAUCUUCAAAAGAAAACACUGAAGGACGCUUUUAUGGAUUCCUCUAUUCUUCCUAAUAAGGUCAAAAUAAUAACAACACUCAUACUUCACAUUGUCUGUUUGGCAAAGGCCCGUUUGACCGACAGGGUGGUGCUGGUAACAGGCACGUGAACCCUGCAAGGCUCCUGCCUUGUGCGAGAUUAAGGGACGCGCGGGCAGAGCGGAAUGCAAAGGUGUUCUGUCACAUCUUCUCUAACGAACGACCGCAUCAGAGUUACCUUAGAAACAAAGGGUUUAUCUCAUCUUAAAGAUGGGCAGGGACUUCCCUGGUGGUAUAGCAGUUAAGAAUCCACCUGCCAGUGCAGGGGACAUGGGUUCAAUCCCUGGUCCAGGAAGAUCCUACAUGCUGCGGAGCAACUAAGCCCGGGCGCCACAACUACUGAGCCUGCGCUCUAUAGCCCGUGAGCCACAACUACUGAGGCCACGCACCACAACUACUGAAUCCCUCGCGCCUAGAGCCCAUGCUCCCCAACAAGAGAAGCCACUGCGAAGAGAAGCCCUUGUACUGCAACGAAGAGUGGCCCCCGCUCACCGCAACUAGAGAAAGCCCGCGCGCAGCGACUAAGACCCAACGCAGCCAAAAUAAAUAAAUAAAUAAUUAAUUUUUUAAAAAAGAUGGGCAAAGGAGGGAAUUCCAGUCCUUUUCAGUAACCCAUGUAGUUACGUAACACGCCUCACAAGAAGUUAAUCAACUAUGUUUUAUCCAAAUCCGUUGAGUUGAAAUUCCUUUGUCCUCAGUGGAAUUAGAAAGCUACUGGCUGUCGUCAGUGUGAGCCCCCUUCGUGUAUUUGAACCCUGUAUUAAAAGCUCUGU